AAAGUUAAUGCGAUGUUUAAAGCAGUUGCAAUUUUUAUCCCAAGUGUGCUUUACAGUGUGGGCUACUUUAAUGAAUAACAGGGAGAAAAGCAAAUAUUGAAUCAGAGGACCUUGUGAAAGACCAUGAGCUAUUGCUUUUGCUAGGCAGUCUACUGUGAUAAUUCUUCAGAUUGCUUUGGAGAGGACAGUUUGGAGAAAGAAGCAGGUA